rnacentral:rRNA from 1 species
AGGACGAACGCUGGCGGCGUGCUUAACACAUGCAAGUCGAGCGGAAAGGCCCUUCGGGGUACUCGAGCGGCGAACGGGUGAGUAACACGUGGGCAACCUGCCCCUAGCUCUGGGAUAACUCCGGGAAACCGGUGCUAAUACCGGAUAUGACCUCAAGUGGCAUCCCUUGAGGUGGAAAGAUUUAUUGGCUAGGGAUGGGCCCGCGGCCUAUCAGCUUGUUGGUGGGGUAAUGGCCUACCAAGGCGACGACGGGUAGCCGGCCUGAGAGGGCGACCGGCCACACUGGGACUGAGACACGGCCCAGACUCCUACGGGAGGCAGCAGUGGGGAAUAUUGCGCAAUGGGCGAAAGCCUGACGCAGCGACGCCGCGUGAGGGAUGACGGCCUUCGGGUUGUAAACCUCUUUCAGCAGGGACGAAGCGCAAGUGACGGUACCUGCAGAAGAAGCGCCGGCCAACUACGUGCCAGCAGCCGC